rnacentral:lncRNA from 1 species
UCCAUCAAAGGCAGAGGGAGAGACAGCAGAAAUUCAUUUACCUGGAAAAAUCAGAGGCCACAAAUCAGGCCUUAUAUUUUCACAGUUGAUGGAAGAAACAUUUUUCACCUCUAAGAUCUGUAAGUUUUCUUAUCCCCAUUCUACCACUGGUGAACCUGAAAUGGCCAAGAUUUUUCCAAGAGUUUCAACAAGCAAAUGUUGAUCCUGGAGCCUGACCUUAGAGUUUUGACUUUGAAGGAAGCAUUGUUUCUACUGCAGGAAAACAACUAGCAUCUAUUGUCACUGAAUUAUUAACCAUCUUAGACAUCAUUUAAAUUUUGGAAUGAAGAACUUUGAGAAGUACUUCUGGGAAGGACCCAAACAGCCAUGGGAACUUCAUUGUCACAGACCAGAGUGUGUUUGGUAAUCCCUUAUUAAAUUGAGCUAAACCCACUUCACUAAUGGUCAGAGUCAGAGUGGUUUCUUAAACUGAAUUCCUCUGUGACUGAAUCAGAACAGAGAAUAUCUGUUUUUAGAGCACAAAAACAGUCAGCUUUUUGCAGUGCACCUAACCUUUGCAGAAAAUAAUACAGUGCUGGCUUAGACCUCAAAUUCUUUAUGAAGUAAUUGAGGAACUAAACAACAAAAUAGCUAAUUUCGGUAAAGAAAUAAAAUGAAAUGUUUCCUAGUGUGAUCAAGUAAAAUUCUGAGGAAAUACACAGAAAUGUGGGCUUUGUGCUAAGUGAUAGAGGUAUGACCUUAUGGCAGAGACUAAUCAUAGUUACCCUGUUAAAGACCUAUGAUGGCAAAUCUCCACAGGAAAAGGUGCAAACUAUCAGACAUGUCAUGAAGGACCCUUCAUAAGGUGACACCAUCUUCUUGGCUUAGUCACUCACAAAUUUUUGUGUGACUUAACUUGGAUUCACUUGCUAUUCCAUUGAAAAGACCAAAAGCUCAACCCUACUCUAAACAAACACCACUCUGCCUCAAAUACCCUUUUGUCCUUUCUCUUUCUUGUAAAUGCCCAUUUCUUCCUAAGUAUUCUAUCUAAAUACCACCUUCCUUUAGAAAGUUCUCUUAAAUUCUCAUGAACAAUUGAUUUGCCUCUCCUCUGGGAAUCAUUACUCAUCUGUGCGUGAGAUUAAUGAUGGUCCCUUUGCAUUUGAGCAGACAUUGAUUUGAAUUUUAGUUUGUUUACUCACUUUCCACGUGGCUUUGAUGAAUGCUUCCUAACCUCCUAUACUUCAGGUGUUGUCUUAGACUCUUUGGGCUGCAGUAACAAAGUACCAGAGACUGGGUAGUUUAUAAACAACAGAAACUUACUUCUUACAGUUCUAGAGAAUGGGAGUCCAAGAUCAGUAUGGUGGAGUUUGGGUGAGAGCUGUCUUCUGGGCAUAGAGGGCCACUUUCUUGUCCUGCCCUCAUGUGAUGGGAAGCGAGAGAGCUCUCUUAGAGUUGUUCUGCCAGGGCCUGAAUCCCAUUCCUGAGGACUCCAACCUCAUGACCUGCUCACCUCCCAAAGUCCCCACCCUCUGAUGGCACUGGAAGUUAAAUUUCAACAUGUGAAUUGUGGGGAAACACACCCAGUUCAUAGCUGAAUAUUUUGUAAUGUGAUCUACUUACAAAAAGGGAUUGCAACGAAAGCUUGCUGGUCUUAUAUACAUUGAUGAUGAUGUACAUAAUGGCACAAUUACUUUUGGACAUGUUUUGGGCAUCCAGUGUGUGGAAUUCUGACACUUCCUAAUUAGAUAUCUAGCUUUAGCUUGUGAAAUAUGCAGCAGUGAGUUCAUGACUUACACUUCUGCACACUCUAACCACGAGGAUAAUGCCUAUCAAAUAGGAACAGUUGUUUGAAAGUGGAGAAUAAUGACGGGUUGAGAAAAAAAGGAAGCAUUACUUCUGAGAGUGUAAAAUGACCAAAGCAGAGAGUCAUUCAAGUCCAUAAUUCUUUGGAGAAUAGUGACUGAACACCUAUGUCUAGGCAAUGUGUACGGAAGGCAGGGUGGAACGGACACAGAGACCGAAAUGCAAUAAAAUGAGUGGAAGAUUCCUUCUGUUUUCACCACUGAUAAACUCUGUGUUAUUUGGAAAAGCUAUAAAUCUCCAAACUUAAUCUCCUUAAUCAACAGUUUAUGUAAUUUAUCAUCUAUCUAUCUAUCUAUCUAUCUAUCUAUCUAUCUAUCUAUCCAUCUAUCUAUCUAUCUAUCCAUCCAUCCAUCCAUCCAUCCAUCUGAUUAUUCUCCAAAACUCUGUAAGGAUACACCUAGUAAAGAGACAGCAGAGGGGAACCCUGGCCACGAGGCAUAGUCUGGAAGAUAAUGGUUAAAGCCCUGUAUUGAUCUUGGCCAUUAUUUCCCCUUGUGAUGUUGCUACCUGCAACUGAAAUGAUGAAAAGAUUUGAGUACCUACUUCUCACCAUUGAAAAAUAAAACCAUGGUUCUCUUUUAACACUGGGGAAAGAAAGUAAGGUUAUUAUAGGAAUGCACUAAUGAAAACCCAUAAGAUCUCGAGAAAGAGCUGGACCAAUUGUCUCUGUGUAUCAAUUCAGCUAAUUCCCAAUGAUGAAAUCUUUAAUGCUUUCUCUAAUAAAGUGUAUUUAAUUUAAAAUAAAAUACAUCAGUAAACAUCUUCAGUGUUUUGGCAUCAGACUUGCAGAUGGCUUCAUUGUUUAGAUGGCGACGAUGGUAAUUUGCUGGUUAUUACGAUGACAGAUCUCCUAAGAAUGAAGCUGCCUCAUCGUGUUCUGUAUUCUGUUUUGAGCCAGAGUUAAAAUAGCUAUCAUAAAGCUGAAUGGAAUGCUUGAUUACAUACAUUAUAGAAAUAUAUCUUAGCCCAGGGAAUUCAGACACUGCCUAUUCAUAAUUUAUCUGUUCAUGGUGUAGUGCUUAAUAAGCUCCUGUACUUCACUCUGCAAAGGCUGUAUCUAUUCAUUCAGUUGUUUCCCACCAGUAAGUGAACAUAUCCUAUAGCCUUCCUGAAAGACCAGCUUAUAUUAAGUUAAUACUUUGCCUUUCUCUCUUUUUAAGAUCUAGUAACCGAAUAUGAGUUGCAUCAAAUUCCAUGUUGUUUAAACUAAUUCUGGAAAUGGAAUGUGUUAGACCUGAUAUUGAAUGAUUUAAUUAGUAGAAAUUAGUUUUAUGACCAAAAAGGGAUACAUGGGUUCAUGAUACUGUUGCUACUACAUUUUGGGAGAAUUUAGGCCAAGCUUGUUGAGAUUUUCAGCUUUUCAAAAUGUAAGCUUUUGUCUUGCUUCAAAGCAAUCUAGCAAAUAUAAAUAAUUUUAAAGUGCUAUCUCUAAGCAAGAAACGUUGUGACUUAUUUCUCAAAAGUAUAGUUAGAAAUAUACUUUAAAUAUAGGAAAACUAAAAAUACUCUAUUUCACAUCUAAGGUUUUAUGUUGAAAAUUAAUAUCAAAUGCCUCAUUAUAACAGAGUUAGACUUGGAUUAUUAAUUCAUGCUUCAAUUAUGUAAUAAAUUGAAAUGUAUAAGGAGUAAAUUAAAAGAAAAAAAUAGAAUAAAAUGCAGCUAACCAAGGAUUGAAAGUAUUAAGCUGAAUUACCAUUGGAAAUGUGUAAGUUGAUUUUAAAAUUGUAAUGGCAUUUUCCAUGUCAGUUAUUCAAAGAUUUCUCUCUUUGGCAUAAAUGCAUUUUUCACAAACUUAUUUUUUCCUGCUCCCUACUGGUGGAUAGCAUUUCUUGAAAUAGCACUAUUUUUCCCAACUAAGAGAUGGAAGAGGAAGCUGAGAUCCUAGGGACACAUAUGUGGGGUGACAAUGGCUAUGGAAAUGAUUUUAUGAUGAUGGCAAGGUCUUCUAGAAGGACAUUGCUAUAUUAGGAGUCAAUUACUUAUCAGAAAUGGGAAAAAGCUGUGUUUCGGCUCAGUUUGGUUUAUGUCUCUGAAAACUCCCAUGGAACUGAGUGAGGAUGAAUUUUGGAAUAAGCUGAAAAGGGUUUAGCAGCAUUGGGAGCAGAGAAUAAAGAACACAUUUGAGAAAAUGAAAAGUAAGAAUUAAAUUUUGUGACCUAGAAAGUGAAGACAUGAAAAGAUCGGAUAAACUCUAUUCAAUUAUUCCCCAUGCCUAGCCUGCUGGGCAGUCCAGCUGAUGGAAGAAUCUAACAAGCAUGGCUGUGCUGUCUUUUAGGCACCUGUAUUUCCUUCAGACCCGUUGACUGAGGUGCUGGUGGGAAAGUCAACCUGUUGGAGUAAAGUGCUGGUGGGAGGUCCAGUCUCCACACCCAUCUUUAGGAGUGAUACUGAGUAUCAGAUGCUGAGAGUAAAUUAAGUUUUCUAUUCUAUAUCAAGAAUCAGGAACCAUUGAAAGGCACUUCUGAUGAAAAUAUUAGAAAUUAUGGGAACUCAAUGUGGUUGCUGCUUAACAGGAUUUUACAAAGACAAACACCCCUGGAUUCCUAAUGUGAGUUGUCAAAAAAAUCCAUUGAGCUUCAAGCUGGUUUAUGACCUUUCUCCGAGGACCAGUUCUGUUAUCCAUUGUACACUCUUAGAUGCAUUGUUUCUCUUUCUGUACACCACUGGACUCAUUGUUAAAAUGAAGUGGUGCCUUAAAAAUACAUAUUAUCUUUUCCAACUAAUUGACAUUGACAUGAGGGCUAUGUGGGCAUAGUAAAGACUUUCCUUGAGCUGAAAUUAUCCUCAGGUUAACUGGGAUCAAAUCUCUAGUAUGAGGUUAUAAUUCAGGGGAAACUGUCAUCCAGGCGUGAGAUUGAUCUUUAAAUGCAGCAGAAGAAUAAGGUAGCUUGCUGAUGGUUUUUAUACAUCUAAUGAUUCAAAACAGGGUAGUGGACAUUUCCGUAGAUUUUCCAAGUCUAAUAAGAGAUAGCAGAGGAGGUGAGACCCAGCAGUUCAUCUCAAGUUCGAAAUUAAAACCAAGACAUCUCUUACAGUAAAACUGAGAACAUUCUGAUGUGAUUGAUACUGAGUGUGGGUAACAGAAACCCCUUCCCUGGGUUGGCUGGGGCUUGGAGAGCAGGGCACAGACAAUGUACAAGAUAAGAUAUGGAUAAAUAAUUUGUUUGGAGCAGGCUAAUAGAGUCUUGUUGGGAAACAUGGUCUCUGUGCUACAGGCAGCAGGAAACCAGUAAAAGUUCAUAAGCAGGAGGGGGUGAUUCCUCUCUUCUUUUGUGGUUUUUAGCUUUUUGAUUUGGGGGACUUUAAUUUUGAUACUGUUCACUCUUUUGUGCUUAUAUAAUUCAAAAAUUUAUAUUUGUCAUGAUUAAAACCCCAGUGCCUUACCUCAGGCUCCCAUAACAGGAUACCACAGAUGAUGUGCCUUUUAAACAGCUGACAUUCAUUUCUCACAGUUCUGGAGGCUGAAAGUUCAAGAUCAGGUCUGGAUCUGCCAAGGACCCCCCUGAAGGUUGCAGACCAUGGACUUCUCCCCAUGUCUUCAUAUGCUGGCGAACAGGGUUGGGACUCUUUAGGCACUAAUCCCAUUCAUGGGGUCUACACCUUCAUGGCUUUAACUCUGAUUACCUUCCAAAGGCCCCCCCUUCUGAAAGCAUCUCACUGGAGAGUAGGGUGUCAACAUAUGAAUUUAGGAAGGACACAAAUAUUCAAUCCACGAUAGUCUUCAGUAUACCAGAGAAAGGCUAUGCCUGCCUUUCCAUAUCAUUAUUAGAAUUGACAUAGCCUCUGCACCUCCAAGGAAGAAACAGGUAUACAUUUUAGAGUAAUAGAAUGUCCUUUUAUUUCCUUAAUACUGUAAUGUACAUUGGAAAAUAAAGAAUGUACAUUUAGAUGUAUGAGCAAGAACGGAUAACAAACUGGACAGCUCACUUUUGAUUAUGUGAGAACAGCCGCCUUGAUAAUUCACAAGGGAAUAAAGGUCCCAUAAUUGUCACAACUUCCUGAGAAAACUAGACAUGCUAGAAACACACAGAAAGGGAAAAAAUGGAACUCAUGCAAACCAUUUCUACAUUGAUAAUCUUGUGUCUAUAAUACAAUCCUAGUGCUUUAAAAUGUCUCACAAAUUGAGGUAAUUUCCCUAAUACAAUGUGAGUUACUCUAUAAUAAUAGAUUGACUUCACCAUGCAAAAUGAGGAAUAAAUGAAUCACUGUUUAAUAUUUUACCAAUUACAUAUAUCCUCUGAGGGGAUAUGUGACAUUUUUAGUUAUCAAUUCCUAUGAAAUUCUGGAGUCACUUUAUUUUACCUGUAACAGAUUUUUGCACAAAUCAUUUACAUUAGUAAAUGUCAGUAGCUUUAAAACUUACUUUGGUAUUAGAAGUAGUAGAUGAUUCAGUUUUCAUCUGUUCUUUAG